rnacentral:sRNA from 1 species
UUCAUCAAAACAACGGAUGGGCCUCCGA